rnacentral:tRNA from 1 species
GAGGAUGUGGCUCAGUGAUAGAACACUUACCUAGCAUGCAAGAGGCCCUGGGUUUGAUACCCAGCACCGCCA